rnacentral:rRNA from 1 species
UACGGGGGGAGCAAGCGUUGUUCGGAAUUACUGGGCGUAAAGGGCUCGUAGGCGGCCAACUAAGUCGGACGUGAAAUCCCUCGGCUUAACCGGGGAACUGCGUCCGAUACUGGAUGGCUUGAGUUUGGGAGAGGGAUGCGGAAUUCCAGGUGUAGCGGUGAAAUGCGUAGAUAUCUGGAGGAACACCGGUGGCGAAGGCGGCAUCCUGGACCAACACUGACGCUGAUGAGCGAAAGCCAGGGGAGCAAACGGG